rnacentral:misc_RNA from 1 species
AAAGUCGUAACAAGGUUUCCGUAGGUGAACCUGCGGAAGGAUCAUUAACACGUAUCCAACGUUAAAACAACCCUGUGAACCUUGAACGCGCUCUUGCAGCCCAUGAAAGCAGCAAUCCCUGGUAAAUCAUUGUUGACCAGCUAUUUGAGUCAGGGACCUCUGCCGAUGAGAAGUUACAGUUGCAAUACGAUGCGCUUGCAUUAAGUGACCUGGCAUCCCCAAGCAACCAUUGUCUGACAGCGUCAUUGGUUGUGCAAGGAUGGCGCGUAAACGAUCGCUAGAGGCCCACACGGCCGGCGACCGGGUCACCGGGCUCACGCCCCUUAAUAACCCCUAUGUUUCCGACUGGGCAGCCGAUAAUACGGACGCCGUUUAAAACUUGAACAACUGUUAACAAUGGAUAUCUUGGUUCUC